rnacentral:rRNA from 2 species
AGAGUUUGAUCAUGGCUCAGAUUGAACGCUGGCGGCAGGCCUAACACAUGCAAGUCGAGCGGUAGCACAGAGAGCUUGCUCUCGGGUGACGAGCGGCGGACGGGUGAGUAAUGUCUGGGAAACUGCCUGAUGGAGGGGGAUAACUACUGGAAACGGUAGCUAAUACCGCAUAAUGUCGCAAGACCAAAGUGGGGGACCUUCGGGCCUCAUGCCAUCAGAUGUGCCCAGAUGGGAUUAGCUAGUAGGUGGGGUAACGGCUCACCUAGGCGACGAUCCCUAGCUGGUCUGAGAGGAUGACCAGCCACACUGGAACUGAGACACGGUCCAGACUCCUACGGGAGGCAGCAGUGGGGAAUAUUGCACAAUGGGCGCAAGCCUGAUGCAGCCAUGCCGCGUGUGUGAAGAAGGCCUUCGGGUUGUAAAGCACUUUCAGCGGGGAGGAAGGCGUUAAGGUUAAUAACCUUGGCGAUUGACGUUACCCGCAGAAGAAGCACCGGCUAACUCCGUGCCAGCAGCCGCGGUAAUACGGAGGGUGCAAGCGUUAAUCGGAAUUACUGGGCGUAAAGCGCACGCAGGCGGUCUGUCAAGUCGGAUGUGAAAUCCCCGGGCUUAACCUGGGAACUGCAUUCGAAACUGGCAGGCUAGAGUCUUGUAGAGGGGGGUAGAAUUCCAGGUGUAGCGGUGAAAUGCGUAGAGAUCUGGAGGAAUACCGGUGGCGAAGGCGGCCCCCUGGACAAAGACUGACGCUCAGGUGCGAAAGCGUGGGGAGCAAACAGGAUUAGAUACCCUGGUAGUCCACGCCGUAAACGAUGUCGAUUUGGAGGUUGUGCCCUUGAGGCGUGGCUUCCGGAGCUAACGCGUUAAAUCGACCGCCUGGGGAGUACGGCCGCAAGGUUAAAACUCAAAUGAAUUGACGGGGGCCCGCACAAGCGGUGGAGCAUGUGGUUUAAUUCGAUGCAACGCGAAGAACCUUACCUGGUCUUGACAUCCACAGAACUUUCCAGAGAUGGAUUGGUGCCUUCGGGAACUGUGAGACAGGUGCUGCAUGGCUGUCGUCAGCUCGUGUUGUGAAAUGUUGGGUUAAGUCCCGCAACGAGCGCAACCCUUAUCCUUUGUUGCCAGCGGUCCGGCCGGGAACUCAAAGGAGACUGCCAGUGAUAAACUGGAGGAAGGUGGGGAUGACGUCAAGUCAUCAUGGCCCUUACGACCAGGGCUACACACGUGCUACAAUGGCAUAUACAAAGAGAAGCGACCUCGCGAGAGCAAGCGGACCUCAUAAAGUAUGUCGUAGUCCGGAUUGGAGUCUGCAACUCGACUCCAUGAAGUCGGAAUCGCUAGUAAUCGUAGAUCAGAAUGCUACGGUGAAUACGUUCCCGGGCCUUGUACACACCGCCCGUCACACCAUGGGAGUGGGUUGCAAAAGAAGUAGGUAGCUUAACCUUCGGGAGGGCGCUUACCACUUUGUGAUUCAUGACUGGGGUGAAGUCGUAACAAGGUAACCGUAGGGGAACCUGCGGUUG